CUUUCUAUACCUGUAUAUAUCUAUCAGAGUUAAGUGUCUUGUGUUUAGUGUUAUGGGCUUACAGCGCGGUUUCCAACGCUGUUAUUCUACACUCUGAAAGCUACGGGAUUUUGCGGAAGAUUCCAUGACAUACGAACCUUCUGAAAGUCGAAGAUAAAGAAAACCAUGAUUGACAGAGAUUUGAAUUUGUGAAAUCAUGAAGAUGACUGUUUCCCUCAGUGAAUGCAACAACCACGUCUUGAAUUCAUCAUUAUUGAGGCUCAAAGUUCCGCAUCACUGACUUUGGAACCAAUUAACCAGAUGUGAAACACUGGCUGUCAUGACCGGUGAAAGGGACGGGGUAUGGGGGGAAGGGAUGGGGGAGGGGACGUGACGUAAUCAUGAUGGCGGGAUGUUCGUGUCAGACACGCCCAAAGUACUCUAGUUGUAAUCGUGAAGAAAAUCUUAAAUAAUUUCUCUGUUUGGAAAAUAUUUAUUGCUGCCUUCAGGCGACUUGUGUACGAAAACAAAUGUAAUGUGCACAAUGAUGACGUCACCAGAGGUUAAUGACUUCCUGAGUAUAAAAUAGAUAAUUGUUAAGUCGUUAACCUGUGAUUAACCAAUGAAACGUUUGCACGUCGUUGUAAUAUAUGAACAAUACAUUUUAGAAGCUGUGCAAAUAACUUUUAAAAGUUAAUUUAUGGUCAUGUAACGGUUUUGCCGACAUAACCGGCCUCGGUGGCGCAGUGGUUAAGCCAUCAGACUAAAGGCUGGUAGGUACAGGAUUCGAAACCGGUACCGGCUCCAACCCAGAGUGAGUUCUUAAGGGCUCAAUGGGUAGGUGUAA